rnacentral:lncRNA from 1 species
UGGUCACAGAGUUAUCAUUUUUAGGGGUGUGGUGGGGUGGGACUGUUGUUGAAGUAAAAGGAGGAGGGUUAGACCUGCCCAACUAGAGGUUUCUUCUAGUUUUUAUAUUUUUAAGACAGUUUAUUAUUAUGUGGCCAAUAAACCAGCAGGUGGCACUACACAACAAUUUUACACAGGCAAAAAUAAGCAGAAUGUGAUCAACACUACUCUGACAAUUUACACAAACAAGAAGUGACCACUUUAAAGACAGAAUGCCAAGAACAAUACAAUAAAUGCUAAAGAGAAAGAGUGACAAGAGUGAGCAACUACAGAUAAUGCAGUCAUGGAACCAGAAAAAGAGAUUCACAGCCUUACAUCAGGGGAAGGAUUUUGGCAGGUGUCUGAAAAUGUGUCUCGAAACAUCUCUGUAGACAAGACUGAGAAAGAGACAAUCUAUGAAAAUCUUCCAGAACUACUAUUUCCAGAAAGACACUCUGGGAAGUACAGCUUUUGACUGAUAAGGAAAAGAAAUUGAGAUGCAUGUUACACCCUCCCAAAGUCUGAAAACCCUAAUUAUUCAGCUCCAGAGAGAGGCAAGUGCAGCACAAUCAAAUGAGUGUUGAGAAGGAAAGAGUUUCUUGGAAUCGCAAGGCCACCUGAUCGAUGGUAAACGUCCCACUUACUUGAGGAGAUUCCCCAGAUUGAAAAGAGCCCGGUUAUGCUGUGGAUGGAGCUGGAGAGCCCUCUGAUAGUACAUCUUUGCCUCUGCUGUGUCUCUCGUCAGUGUUCCAAGGUUGUUCAGCGCACUUGCAUGGCGAGGAUACAACCUGAAAAGUUAGAAAUAUUAAGCUGUGAUGGUUCAAAAACUUCUAAGUUGGGCACAAUUUGCUUGCUCUUUUUCCCCCAAGUAUGAACAGCCAAAAUGAAACACUGAAUUAUUCUUGUACUUGAAUGGUUUGUGUCCAAUCUUACUGAUCAAUGACUUUUGCAGCUGAAAGUAUAUAAUUAGGGCAGGGAUGCACAUAUUUAUAAUUAAAUAAUUCUUAAAUAGUACAAGAAUAAAUAGUAUGUGGAUCUACCACGGUUAAAGACAUUUAAUAAGA